GAGCUCAAUUGGUUAGAGCGUGGUGCUGAUAACGCCAAGGUCGCAGUUUCGAUCCCCACACA
rnacentral:tRNA from 1 species